CUACGGGUGGCUGCAGUGGGGAAUAUUGCACAAUGGGCGCAAGCCUGAUGCAGCCAUGCCGCGUGUGUGCAGCAGGCCUUCGGGUUGUAAAGCACUUUCAGCGGGGAGGAAGGCGGUGAGGUUAAUAACCUCAUCGAUUGACGUUACCCGCAGAAGAAGCACCGGCUAACUCCGUGCCAGCAGCCGCGGUAAUACGGAGGGUGCAAGCGUUAAUCGGAAUUACUGGGCGUAAAGCGCACGCAGGCGGUCUGUCAAGUCGGAUGUGAAAUCCCCGGGCUCAACCUGGGAAAUGCAUUCGAAACUGGCAGGCUAGAGUCUUGUAGAGGGGGGUAGAAUUCCAGGUGUAGCGGUGAAAUGCGUAGAGAUCUGGAGGAAUACCGGUGGCGAAGGCGGCCCCCUGGACAAAGACUGACGCUCAGGUGCGAAAGCGUGGGGAGCAAACAGGAUUAGAUACCCGGGUAGUC
rnacentral:rRNA from 1 species